CUCCUUCAUCAGGUCUCCUCAUGGCCUCAUUCACCCGGUCACCUCAUGGCCUCAUUCACCCGGUCUCCUCAUGGCCUCAUUCGCCAGGUCUCCUCAUGGCCUCAUUCGCCAGGUCUCCUCAUGGCCUCCUUCGCCAGGUCUCCUCAUGGCCUCCUUCACCAGGUCUCCUCAUGGCCUCCUUCACCAGGUCUCCUCAUGGCCUCCUGCUUUGUUCUGAGUCUUAGUACUCUGGCACCUGCCAAGGCUCACACAUGGAUCAAGUCACGGUGUUGACACAGCCUCCUCUCCUCCUCAUACAACACUACCUUUUUACUCUCACCUAUCACCUGUAUUGUCAGUCUCACUUGUGUUUUAAUACCAGACAGCCCAUCCCACUGCGGUUAGC
ensembl:lncRNA